rnacentral:rRNA from 1 species
UACAGAGGUCUCGAGCGUUAGGCGGAAUCACUGGGCUUAAAGCGUGUGUAGGUGGAUGCCUAAGUACCUUGUGAAAUCCCACAGCUUAACUGUGGAACUGCUCGGUAUACUGGGUGUCUUGAGUCACUCAGGGGCGAGCGGAACAAAUGGUGGAGCGGUGAAAUGCGUAGAUAUCAUUUGGAACGCCAAUGGUGAAAACAGCUCGCUGGGGGUGCACUGACACUGAGACACGAAAGCCAGGGGAGCGAACGGG